CCGCCCUAGUUUUGACCGUAAACGAUGCCAACUAGCGAUCCGCCGAUGGAAACACAAAUUGCCAUGGUGGGGAGCUUCCCGGAAACGAAAGUCUUCCGGUUCCGGGGGAAGUAUGGUUGCAAAGCUGAAACUUAAAGGAAUUGACGGAAGGGCACCACCAGGAGUGGAGCCUGCGGCUUAAUUUGACUCAACACGGGGAAACUCACCCGGCCCGGACACCGUAAGGAUUGACAGAUUGACAGCUUUUUCAUGAUUCGGUGGAUGGUGGUGCAUGGCCGUUCUUAGUUCGUGGAGCGAUCUGUCUGGUUUAUUCCGAUAACGAGCGAGACUCUGGCCUACUAACUAGUCCGCGCAUUGCCUCUGUGCCGUUGGACUUCUUAGAGGGAUUCGCGGUGUUCAGCCGCAAGAAAUGGAGCAAUAACAGGUCUGUGAUGCCCUUAGAUGUCCGGGGCUGCACGCGCGCUACACUGGCAGAAUCAGCUGGCUUGUCCUGCCCCGAAAGGGGCGGGUAAACCCGUGAAAAUCUGCCGUGAUUGGGAUCGGAAAUUGCAAUUAUUUUCCGUGAACGAGGAAUUCCAAGUAAGUGCGUGUCAUCAACACGCGUUGAUUACGUCCCUGCCCUUUGUA
rnacentral:rRNA from 1 species